CGGCACCCCACUCCUGGUAGGCUGCAGUCCAUGGGGUCGCUAACAGUCAGACAUGGCUGAGCGAGUUCACUUUCACUUUUCACUUUCAUGCAUUGGAGAAGGAAAUGGCAGCCCACUCUAGUGUUCUUGCCUGGAGAAUCCCAGGGACGGGGAGCCUGGUUGGCUUCCAUCUAUGGGAUCACACAGAGUUGGACACAACUACACUGACUUAGCAGCAGCUAUGUUACAUAGAAAGGGAAACUGGGGCACAGGAAAACUCAGUAAAUUGCCUGAGUCCACACAGUUGAGUGGUAGAGCCAGGAUUCAAAUCCAGGUUUUGAGCCAACAGUCUUAACUAUGCUAUUCCAGCCUCUCAUGGUAUACACAGCAUUUGUUUUGUAAAUUUAAUAUAGUCAGGGGGCUUCCCUGGUGGCUCAGCUGGUAAAGAAUCCACCCGCAGUGAGGAAGACCUGGGUUUGAUCCCUGGGUUGGGAAGAUCCCCUGGAGGAGGGACACCUGUCCAAGUCCGUCUGUUUGGAUUGUUAAUCUGAGUGGAUUGUUACAGGAUUUAGAAUAUAGCACACAGCUCUGAAACUGAUUAUUGUCUUUGAGAGACUGGUGUUUGGGUGGGUUCCUAAUACUGGAAACUCCCCUACACUGUGCCAAGGCAACACAUCACCUUCCUCCAAGCACAGAGUUCCUAGCAUCCUGGCCCACUCCCACUGUCCUUUCUGAACUUCGGUCCCCUGAGCUCUUAGCUAGCAGGGGGACUACCCAUCCUAGUGGAACCUGUCAUCAUGACCUUCUCUGUCUGUCUUUGACUAAAGCUCCCACGUGUGGACGGCAGACCUAUCCCAUAGAGUCCUGGCCUAUCUGAACUCACGGCACGUUGCCUUCACCAUCCCCAGCCUGAAGGAGCUGGACAACAUCGUUAUUGACUUGGGAGAGAUUCGGAAACAAGCCUUGCAGAGCCCGGGUGUGAACCGCAGCCUGUUUCUCGUCACGCUGGAGAGGUGUUUCCAGGUGCUGAACCCCCUGGAGUGUGUGGAGAUCCUGGGCAUGGUGCUGAGGGGAUCCUCAGGCCGCUUUCUCCACCCGGACAUCAUGGAGAGUCUCCCGCAAGACCUGCAUGAAGACGUCUUCAAGAACCUGUCUGCGUUGUUCAAAGAUCUCUAUGACCAGACCUCGGCCCAUGCCCAGAGGGCUGUCUACUGCUGGAUGACUGGGAUUCUGAAGACAUCCUCCAAUGUGACUGGUGAGCCCAGGCCUUGAGGUGGGAACACUUUUUAGGUGGAGUC
rnacentral:lncRNA from 1 species